CCGUGCUAGACGGGGAGGUAGCGGUGCCCUGUAACUCGCAAUCCGCUCCAGCGAGGUCGAAUUCCUGUUUAAGGUCUUGGGAUGCAGUUCCGGUAGGUUUCAUGUCGUGUUGACGGCAGGGUCCUCCGCGAAGGACGGCCAUGAAUCCGGUCAGGUCCGGAAGGAAGCAGCCGUAAGUGGUUUAGUUUUUGUGCUAGAGGGUAGCUCGGCUUGAGCGAAGGCUUCCUAUACGGCUGGAUCUCAUCGAUCGAGGGCAGGUGCACGG
rnacentral:SRP_RNA from 1 species